CCCUGGUUCUGGAAAGGUUGAAAGCAAGUGCUGAGGAGAAAAUGACAGAGAAGGGCAAAGAAAUUCAAGUGGCAGAGAACCUUGCAGAAUGAGAAUGCAUCAAUAUACAGCAAUGCAAAGACUACAGGGCCAGAAAGGGAAAAGGGAAACAAAGGGCAUUCCCGGGAAAUUGAAGUUUCCAGUGGAAAAGGCACAGCAGCUGAACAGUCUGAAACCGCUCACACCACUUCUGAGCCUGUUCUGAGAAGGGGGGAACAAAGCUUUAAGAAGUUUCCAUUCCCUCCUUGCUCAGGACUACCUGGUCUCCUGGGAUUCUGCAUCCCCAUCCCCACUGUCCUUUCCCUGGUUACUCAGGAUCCCUUCCAACCACUACAACACCUGCCUGGCAUCUCCUUAUGCUCCUUUCCUGCUAAGCCCCUGCAACACAGAUUUUGUGGGCUGCACAUGACCUGCACAUAAAUCAGGUGGAUGAAAAAAAGAGGGAGAGGUGGAUUAAAAAAAGAGCAACUGGCCAUCGGUUAUCAGCACUGGGGACUUCAACCACAUGGGUAAUUGCCCUUGCUGAUGACAGGACUAACCUUGGCUAUCAUAUCAUUUUCUAGCUUAACAGAAAUCUUCCUGUGUGCUGUCCACUCUUCCAAAACAACUGGAAAAGUCCAGACUGGAGUGGGCUGGAAGCUAUGUCAAUGAAAAUCAGAGAUUUCAAUCAAAUUAAUAUGGCAAUAUGCUAGCUGGGACGGCUGGGGACCAACCAGGUCACUUGUUCUACCAUAGGCUUCUUCUGACAGCAUGAAGCUCUGGCUGGGGUGAGGUGGGCAGGAAGAAGGCAGCAACCUUCUCAAGCAGCUCUGCAGCAUCCAGCAGACAGCUUGAAUCAAAGCACCAGAAUGAAUUUGAGCAUGCCAGGAUGCCAUGCUAACUCUUCCUCAAACUUCAGCACUCUACAUAAUAUUUUUAUUCAAAUACCAGAAUAACAGACUGCAUAUUAGAAAUCUUUUUUCUCUUUCAGUAUUCACUCUGCACACUCGACCCGCCUCCAUGCACAUAAACACAUUUGAGCUUCUAGCAGUCCAGCUAUACUCGUCCUAGCGAAACCCUCUAGGGCAAAUGGGAGUAAUACCAGCCAAAAGUGCUUUGGGUAGUGCACCUUUUAGUCUGGUUCACUGAUGUAAAUGAACUCUGUCAGGGGAAAAAAAAAUGUUUGUUUUCAUGCUUGAUGUUGGUAUAACUGCAGCUGCCAUAAAAAUAUUGCUGGAAAUGUCACUGCAGAAUCACACCCUGACUGACAAUGAAAUACCAGCCAACGUUUCUAGCAUAAAUCUUGCAUAAAGAAAGUGCCAAGGUUAAAUUUCUAGGGCAAAGGGAUGCGGGCAGACCCAGCAGGCAAGAAUUUAAAAGGAAAGGAAAAAGAAAGGUACCUUAGGAGAAAACAAUUCUAUUAUUAGAUAGAUAUUCAUUC
rnacentral:lncRNA from 1 species